GGGUGCUCUUGGGAUUGCAACCAGCGCAAGCAGCACCCUUCUGCAGAAGUAAAGAUGCCUUGCUGGGAAGUCUUCUGUCUCAGUGCUGGUUUUUCUUGACUACACUGAGCACUUGUUUUCAACAAAUUUGAGGGUCUUCUGGGAUCCCAUUCUCCUUUGGGAGGGGUAGCGAUUACUUUUCCUCGUGAGACACGUCCCACUGCCUUGUUGCAGUGGCCCAAGGAGCGGAGGAUCGGGUCCACCCAAAGUGAGGAAUAAAUCCGGACUUUCAGCAACGUGGGCAGGAAGGAGCCUUAAAAUUCCCAGGCAAGUGGGUAACUCUGUGCACAGACCAAGCCGCCGACGGGACCAUCACAAAAGCUUUACAAGGCCUUACCACCCUGGCAAAUGAAUUAGCCGAAAAUUCUGGACUAGAUAACCCUUUUAUGGGUCUCAUGGAAAAGUGGUUUGGAAAAUGGAAAGGACUCCUGGCUUCAAUCUUUACCUCUCUUGCAAUUGUAACAAGUGUACUUAUCCUUGUGGGCUGCCGCAUCAUACCUUGUAUUCGUGGGUUAACUCAAAGGCUCAUAGAAACAGCCCUCACUAAAGCCUUCCUCUCUUCUCUCCCUCCAUACUUGGACAAGCUCUUGCUCCUGGAUAAUCAAGAAGAACAACGAAGCCAAAUCCUGUUAAAAUUUUUUGCAGAGGAAGAAGUAUCAAAUAGAAGAGAGGAAAUUGUUGGGACAGCUAAGCUCUUCAAAGACUCAACUUCCUGGUCAUAAACUUCUCCCCGUUUUUCUUCUUUUUCGCCAGUCUACCCUGUUUGGGAAAGUUUAAACCUUAGCCAGUCGGGAUCAGCUCAGAUUGUGCAGUCCAUCCCCAGUCAAUGGGGAAAGGACACAGAAACAGGAACUGCGUUAGGGUUAAAAAGCCCUUCUCUCCUUUGUUUGGGGUGCUCUUGCGAUUACAAGCUGCGCAAGUAGCACCGUUCUGAAGUAAAGAUGCCUUGCUGG
rnacentral:lncRNA from 1 species